AACAGCUGAGCGCCUUGGCCGCACUUUCAAAUAAGAGAGCGCAUCGUCUAAUUAGUAUUCGUUUGUAUCGUAGUGUUUUUUUUUUUGCUUACACAAAUGAUUCGCCCACACACAAGUUGAGUUUGGCGCAGAAAUGUUUGCUGCGGUUUUAUCGUAAUUGCGCUAACUAGAAUCACAAUUGGGCCAAUUGUUGCGGUUUUUGAUUCGUUUUAAGCAGCCGCUGCUAAUAGAACUACAGUAAAAAUCGGAUGUAGCAAAUAUGAACGCCAGCUAAAUAUUAUUGCUUCCAACAUGUUCGAUAACCUCCACAAGGACGAAUCGCUUUCAAAGUAGCAUCUCGGAUCAAUAGUGAAUUUCCCGUGAAUUUACCAAAUAUAACAGUAAAUGACGAUGUAGCUUGUCGCAUAACAUAUUAUCAUUAAAUCGUAUCCGUAUCUCGGACGGGCAUUCAAUUGGGCGGGAUUCAUCCAUCCAAGCGCAUUACGCGCAUUCGUUCCGCAUUUCUCCUGCUGCCAUCUAGUACCCAUAACCCCCCUCCGCAAACGUCCUUGGUGCUGGCCCCCUCAUUCAAUCAAAAGCGACUCAACAGAUUGCCUGUCGUUUGCCUGCCAUUGGAGCUGAAGCAAUUCCAAUUCAAUUUUAGCUGUGAUGACGAAGCCGGCGACAACGCUUGCUCCAACAGGGAUUUUCGCAUUUUUUUUGUAAAA